GACGAACGCUGGCGGCGUGCUUAACACAUGCAAGUCGAACGGAAAGGCCCUGCUUUUGUGGGGUGCUCGAGUGGCGAACGGGUGAGUAACACGUGAGUAACCUGCCCUUGACUUUGGGAUAACUUCAGGAAACUGGGGCUAAUACCGGAUAGGAGCUCCUGCUGCAUGGUGGGGGUUGGAAAGUUUCGGCGGUUGGGGAUGGACUCGCGGCUUAUCAGCUUGUUGGUGGGGUAGUGGCUUACCAAGGCUUUGACGGGUAGCCGGCCUGAGAGGGUGACCGGCCACAUUGUGACUGAGAGACGGCCCAGACGCCUACGGGAGGCAGCAGUGGGGAAUAUUGCACAAUGGGCGGAAGCCUGAUGCAGCAACGCCGCGUGCGGGAUGACGGCCUUCGGGUUGUAAACCGCUUUCGCCUGUGACGAAGCGUGAGUGACGGUAAUGAGUAAAGAAGCACCGGCUAACUACGUG
rnacentral:rRNA from 1 species